GUUAAGAUUGUCUAUUUUGGAUGC
rnacentral:siRNA from 1 species